AAUUUUUAGAAAUAGUAAGAUGUCAAGAUAGAAUUUUUAAAGAAGUUUUUUACUAAAUAUUUUUUUUGAUUAUUUACAACGUCAUUUCCAGUUACCAUGUAUUUAAAAUAGGUCCAUAUACGAUCCACAACGGGAUGGAACAACACCUUCAAAUUAAGGACCAGCUAACCCGUAAUCUUAAUUUGUGUUAUCGCUUAUAAUUCUUAUGCUUAUUACAACUUUCAAAACUUAAGAUGCUUUUAGGCCAAAGUCAAAUGUACUUACCAAAAUGUAAUUUAACCAAAAUUUAAUUUUACCAAAAUGUAAUUUUACCAAAACUUGUGAAAUGUUAAUUUAUGUAAACGUUUAUUCGAUUUAAUACUGUUUGUAUAACCUUGCCUAACUAAAGAAUUUCAUAAUGUUUUAUUUAGAAAAUAAAUUAAAGUUAAUUCUAAAA